AUGGGUCAAGGAGUGAGCUGCGCCAGCUCGAGCUACGAGCACAAGUUCUUCUCCGCAGUCCAAGUCGGUGACUUGGCAGCGAUCGACUGCUUCCUGACGGACGACCCUUUUCUGCUACUGCGGACCACCAUCUACGACCGCAUCUCCGCGCUCCACAUCGCGGUCACCAAUGGCCGCGUCCAGGUUUUAUCUAUGCUUCUGAAUCAAUCUUCGAAUCCUGAUGUCGUUUAUCGAGAUAAAUAGACUCUGUUGAUGAUGGCUGGGGGAGAUAGAGUGUGUACAAAAGUUUCUUGAUUCGGGGGCAAAUGUGAGUCGAUUUGAAAACUUGGGAGGACGUACUGUGCUGAAAUACUCUGCUUAUUAUUAUUAUGGUCACUCAGAUUGUUUGCAAGCAAUUCUGUCGGCAACAAAAUCGGCACAAGUCACUGAUUUUUGGGGCUUUGCACGAUUUGUAAACUUGAGAGAUGGAACAGGGGCGAUGCCCUUGCACCUCGCUUCCAGCCAAAGAUGGUCCAACUGUGUUCAUAUUCUUUUAGACAGUGGAGCUCUCGUCUGUGCUUCAACUGGCCGGUAUCGUUUUCCUGGAAGCAACCCGCUGCACUUGGCAGCUCAUGGGGGAAGUUUGGAGUGUGCCCGAGAAUUGCUUGCACGAGGUGCCGACCGGCUCCAAAGGGAUGCAUCUGGGAUCUCGCCAAGUGGACGGUGGAUACCCUCCGAGUUCCUCUAUAAAAGAUGCCCAAUCUCCAAGUCGAACCCCACCGCCGCCUGCAAAAACAAAGCCGAUAGUUAGAUUUUGCAGAGGAGGAAGGAUGUCCUGCUGCGGAGGCAUGUGCCCUGGCUUGGGAGAGGAGCAGACGAGCACCACCGCUCAAACCGUGAUCAUGGGGUCGGCUGGCGCUGAUUCGAAGAGGGAGUUUGAAGAGACGGGUACAGGAUCCGAAAACGGAUGCAAGUGCGGGUCCAACUGCACCUGCGACCCCUGCAACUGCAAGUGAAAGCCGCGCAGAGCUUUCGAGUUUGGAGAGGAGAGAGAGGUAUCGUAUUGCGUGUUCGAAUGAUGCUGAAGAAGAGCACUAGUUCUCCUUAUUAUACAAAAGAAAAAUAAAGGGCAAACUCUCUCCAUCUCUCCUUCUCCUUUGUGUGGUAGUAGUUGUUGUGGUUGAUAGAUGUUUGUCUGUUGCGUGUGGGAGUAGUAGUUGUGGUUGAAAGAUAUUUGUGUGCUUGAGUGAUGUGUGUGUUUACUGGUUACAUGUAAUAUCUGUGGAAAUGAAGGGCCUUGAUAUCUAUCUAACUUGAUGUGAUCAUGUUUUGUCA